rnacentral:rRNA from 1 species
UUAAGCGACUAAGCGUACACGGUGGAUGCCCUGGCAGUCAGAGGCGAUGAAGGACGUGCUAAUCUGCGAUAAGCGUCGGUAAGGUGAUAUGAACCGUUAUAACCGGCGAUUUCCGAAUGGGGAAACCCAGUGUGAUUCGUCACACUAUCAUUAACUGAAUCCAUAGGUUAAUGAGGCGAACCGGGGGAACUGAAACAUCUAAGUACCCGAGGAAAAGAAAUCAACCGAGAUUCCCCCAGUAGCGGCGAGCGAACGGGGAGCAGCCCAGAGCCUGAAUCAGUGUGUGUGUUAGUGGAAGCGUCUGGAAAGGCGCGCGAUACAGGGUGACAGCCCCGUACACAAAAAUGCACAUAUUGUGAGCUCGAUGAGUAGGGCGGGACACGUGGUAUCCUGUCUGAAUAUGGGGGGACCAUCCUCCAAGGCUAAAUACUCCUGACUGACCGAUAGUGAACCAGUACCGUGAGGGAAAGGCGAAAAGAACCCCGGCGAGGGGAGUGAAAAAGAACCUGAAACCGUGUACGUACAAGCAGUGGGAGCACGCUUAGGCGUGUGACUGCGUACCUUUUGUAUAAUGGGUCAGCGACUUAUAUUCUGUAGCAAGGUUAACCGAAUAGGGGAGCCGAAGGGAAACCGAGUCUUAACUGGGCGUUAAGUUGCAGGGUAUAGACCCGAAACCCGGUGAUCUAGCCAUGGGCAGGUUGAAGGUUGGGUAACACUAACUGGAGGACCGAACCGACUAAUGUUGAAAAAAUUAGCGGAUGACUUGUGGCUGGGGGUGAAAGGCCAAUCAAACCGGGAGAUAGCUGGUUCUCCCCGAAAGCUAUUUAGGUAGCGCCUCGUGAAUUCAUCUCCGGGGGUAGAGCACUGUUUCGGCAAGGGGGUCAUCCCGACUUACCAACCCGAUGCAAACUGCGAAUACCGGAGAAUGUUAUCACGGGAGACACACGGCGGGUGCUAACGUCCGUCGUGAAGAGGGAAACAACCCAGACCGCCAGCUAAGGUCCCAAAGUCAUGGUUAAGUGGGAAACGAUGUGGGAAGGCCCAGACAGCCAGGAUGUUGGCUUAGAAGCAGCCAUCAUUUAAAGAAAGCGUAAUAGCUCACUGGUCGAGUCGGCCUGCGCGGAAGAUGUAACGGGGCUAAACCAUGCACCGAAGCUGCGGCAGCGACGCUUAUGCGUUGUUGGGUAGGGGAGCGUUCUGUAAGCCUGUGAAGGUGUACUGUGAGGUAUGCUGGAGGUAUCAGAAGUGCGAAUGCUGACAUAAGUAACGAUAAAGCGGGUGAAAAGCCCGCUCGCCGGAAGACCAAGGGUUCCUGUCCAACGUUAAUCGGGGCAGGGUGAGUCGACCCCUAAGGCGAGGCCGAAAGGCGUAGUCGAUGGGAAACAGGUUAAUAUUCCUGUACUUGGUGUUACUGCGAAGGGGGACGGAGAAGGCUAUGUUGGCCGGGCGACGGUUGUCCCGGUUUAAGCGUGUAGGCUGGUUUUCCAGGCAAAUCCGGAAAAUCAAGGCUGAGGCGUGAUGACGAGGCACUACGGUGCUGAAGCAACAAAUGCCCUGCUUCCAGGAAAAGCCUCUAAGCAUCAGGUAACAUCAAAUCGUACCCCAAACCGACACAGGUGGUCAGGUAGAGAAUACCAAGGCGCUUGAGAGAACUCGGGUGAAGGAACUAGGCAAAAUGGUGCCGUAACUUCGGGAGAAGGCACGCUGAUAUGUAGGUGAAGCGACUUGCUCGUGGAGCUGAAAUCAGUCGAAGAUACCAGCUGGCUGCAACUGUUUAUUAAAAACACAGCACUGUGCAAACACGAAAGUGGACGUAUACGGUGUGACGCCUGCCCGGUGCCGGAAGGUUAAUUGAUGGGGUCAGCGCAAGCGAAGCUCUUGAUCGAAGCCCCGGUAAACGGCGGCCGUAACUAUAACGGUCCUAAGGUAGCGAAAUUCCUUGUCGGGUAAGUUCCGACCUGCACGAAUGGCGUAAUGAUGGCCAGGCUGUCUCCACCCGAGACUCAGUGAAAUUGAACUCGCUGUGAAGAUGCAGUGUACCCGCGGCAAGACGGAAAGACCCCGUGAACCUUUACUAUAGCUUGACACUGAACAUUGAGCCUUGAUGUGUAGGAUAGGUGGGAGGCUUUGAAGUGUGGACGCCAGUCUGCAUGGAGCCGACCUUGAAAUACCACCCUUUAAUGUUUGAUGUUCUAACGUGGACCCGUAAUCCGGGUUGCGGACAGUGUCUGGUGGGUAGUUUGACUGGGGCGGUCUCCUCCUAAAGAGUAACGGAGGAGCACGAAGGUUGGCUAAUCCUGGUCGGACAUCAGGAGGUUAGUGCAAUGGCAUAAGCCAGCUUGACUGCGAGCGUGACGGCGCGAGCAGGUGCGAAAGCAGGUCAUAGUGAUCCGGUGGUUCUGAAUGGAAGGGCCAUCGCUCAACGGAUAAAAGGUACUCCGGGGAUAACAGGCUGAUACCGCCCAAGAGUUCAUAUCGACGGCGGUGUUUGGCACCUCGAUGUCGGCUCAUCACAUCCUGGGGCUGAAGUAGGUCCCAAGGGUAUGGCUGUUCGCCAUUUAAAGUGGUACGCGAGCUGGGUUUAGAACGUCGUGAGACAGUUCGGUCCCUAUCUGCCGUGGGCGCUGGAGAACUGAGGGGGGCUGCUCCUAGUACGAGAGGACCGGAGUGGACGCAUCACUGGUGUUCGGGUUGUCAUGCCAAUGGCACUGCCCGGUAGCUAAAUGCGGAAGAGAUAAGUGCUGAAAGCAUCUAAGCACGAAACUUGCCCCGAGAUGAGUUCUCCCUGACCCUUUAAGGGUCCUGAAGGAACGUUGAAGACGACGACGUUGAUAGGCCGGGUGUGUAAGCGCAGCGAUGCGUUGAGCUAACCGGUACUAAUGAACCGUGAGGCUUAACCUU